ACUCACACACCCAAAUUUCUUUCCUUCACUGCCCUUGAAAGAAACCUAACAGACUCUCACAAUCAAACCAGGAGUGAGAUUUCACCUUCCUAUUGAAUGCUUCGGUUUCUAAUAGAUGAUUCAGUUCCUUCAUUCAUGUUUCAAUUCAUGUUCAAUCGAUUCAUUGCAGAGAUUACUUCAUCUUCCCCUUUAUAAUCGAACUCCAGUUGUCUCAAUUUCUCAAACCAAAUCAAACCUUGGAUUUGAAGAUAUGGGAUGGAGUUAUAGGAUGGAUUUUAUGUUUCCCGUCUUCUACGUGACCCCACGAUCACGUCACAUAAUAUCUAUAAUAUAUGAAUAGAGAGCAGAUGGAGAAGAGGAAGAAAGCAUCUUCGUUAAGGUGGGGAAUUCUUUGUGGAGCCCUAAUUUCUUCUCCAUCUUCCACCGACUCAGGGUCUCUGGUUGAUUGGCGGUAGCCGAAGGGGCGAUUUGAGCAGGAUAAAUAUAGUGGAUUUGAUUAAUGUGGAAGAUGUUGAGCAAAGGUGGCGGUGGUGGUGGAUGGAAUUAGGAAUACUAAGCAAAGACUCGUGGGGUAUAUCAAUCGGAGUAAAGUGAGAAAUCAGAAGAGGUUUUUCAUCUUUUUUGUACAUGCUUCUAUCAAGGUAUGAUGUUUAUGGCAUCCUUAUCUUCUCAUUAGAUUCAAUUUGAUCUCUUUAUGUGAAUUUUUGCUUGAUUAAUUAAUCUUUAUAAUAAUUAAACUUGAUUAGCAUGUUGUGAUAUAAACUUGAUUAUUUCGCUAUAACCGACUCAGGCUUAGAUUUUACCACACACAUUAAGAUGAAAAAAAUAGAAGAAGAAAGAGUGUGUUGUAUUCUCCACAGAUUUAUGACUGCUAUAUCCAACACUAACAGAAAACGAGUCGCGUGGACUUGUAAAUCGUCCUACUCGCUGAACCCGCUUUAUCCAUUACUUUUAUAGCAAAGUAGUUUCCUGUUCUGAUCAACUCAGAAAGAUAAAGACUUCCAUUAUGCCCACACCCCAAUCUUUUCAUCUGUGUAAAAUAUUUCAACCUACCAAGCAGGCACUCGAAAAUUCACUAACUUCUGUGCUGGUGAAGGCUUGAAGCUUUCUUUCGCUUCUGUAAAAUAUGUAUUUGAAUACAUUGUUUUGUGGGGCUGGGCUUGGGUGGAACCCAUGAUGAUCAAAGCGCCCGUUAUCGGUUCGAACACGGGUCUCAUUCACUUCAACAUGUUUUAAGCUGACUAUUUCACAAUC